GUGGAAAUGCCAGGAACUGCACUUUGUUUUGGACCCUGUUGUGCAUUCAGAGAUGCUCUUCUGCAUACUUUGGUUGUAAGGGACAGCUGUGUGGGGGAAUUGCAUUAGAUCAACAGUCUACACUGAAAAAAAGGGAUUGGCCAACUCUUGGAUUUACCUACCAUCUUGCAGAGAGAAGCUAGAGGAGCUAUCUAACAGCCGAGCUUCUGGCAUCGGUUGCUUUCACGUCUGCAGCCACAGCCAUGGUGUUAACGGCCCUCAAGCUGUAUUUUGUUGGAACGGCUCUUACUGUCCUUGCUGUCCUUUAUGAAAUAGCGGACUCCUGUGGCGGUCUCAUGUACGCGCAGAACCAUCAUCUGCAGGACGUGGAGCAUCGACAGCGGUCUGCGAACAACCAACAAUGACGAAUGUCUGUGACUGAGAACAUGACAUUUUCAUGAUGGCUCAUUGGAAAAUGUCAGAGGUUUUUUUUUCAUUAGGCACAUUCGCAAAGAAAGGACACGAUGGUGAUGAUGAAUGUGUUUGUUCUUGUUUGGAACCUACUAUCUGAUCCCCCAAAACCUGUAGCAACUAGUCACUGCUGAAUGCUACUUGCACUGAAUGUUUGACGGUUUUUUAUUUUUAAAGAGUUAAAAUGUCGACUGUUCUCUGGAAAGAAGUCCUUGUCAAAACAAUGCCCCUGGACACUUUUUGGGCACUUAUUUUGCAUUAUAUAAAUUCCCAUUUAUUCAGUGGUCCUUCUUGAUAUAAAAUUUGCAUGUAUAAAGUCACUAAUCAAAUCUUUUUUUUAAGAUAUAAGCUUAUUUUUUUUUAAAAAGGCUUUAAUUUUUUUCCCCUUUGAAAGAAGUUGUUAGUUAUAGUUUUACUGCGUUAUUGCCCCAUUGAUUUUGCCCUAUUAUAAUAUAUCCAGGCUAAGAAAGUUCCAGAUGUACUAAUAAUUCAAUAAGUAUUGAAAACAUUUUGGCAGUCAAACUGACACCUGAGCAGUAUAGCAACAAAAGCUCAAAAGCCAAGCAUGUCCGGACAAGGUGAAAGCUCUCUGAGAAACACGAAGAGGCAGAUUAAAAAAAAAGGUUUUGUUCUAUAAUGGAGACAGUUGCUUAAGGAGUUGAAGAGUACAGCUCAUAAAUAUUUUUGACAGUUUUCUGUGUAGGCCUACUUGCUUGUAUUAGGAACCCAUUUUUCUCCAGGGAGCUAAAAAAGAAAAAGUAAAACCAGACAGUGAAUUCAAAGUACUUUCAUCAAAUAGAGGUGUUUUUCCCCCAUGAUAUGUGAAGAAAAUCUUGUGAAAUUACUGAAUCACAGUUCAAAUUUAUCAGCUUCUGCACAAUGAGGAAAAGACUGCUCUCUCAGUGAUGUUUGCUAGGAUGUUUAAUUUCUUGAUAAGAACGUUUUCUCCAUUUGAAGGUACACAAGGUAUUUAGAGUUUGGUGCACAAAGAACACCAAGUCCCGAAGAGUAGGACAGGUUGGCUAACCCACACGUUAAUGUGCGUGCGUCAUUAACCUUUUGUAGCUUCAAAAAAAACACUUAAGGUCAUUUUCAUGACCUUAAGUGUUUUUUGUGAUGUUUCCUUUUUUAUUAAUAAAUAGUUAAAACCCAGGACAUAAUUAGGACAAAGUUUGUAAUUAAAUAGAAAAUGCUUUAUUAUCAUUUUUUUUUCAGAAAAAUCUUAAAUAAAAAAGUGCACAAAAAACCAGUAAACAAAUUAAAACAAACAAGUACUGUUGAGAAACUAUAAUAAACAUAAAACAACGACUUGUGAAAAUAUAAAUAAUAUGUAAAAAACUUAAUUACCCCCAAAGCGUCUAAGUCACAUCACGUGAUGGCGCAACAUCUAAACACAAGAGGGGGGAGGGGGAGCAAAGUGUGCCUGCUCUGCGCUGACACAGGAGCGGCGAGUCCGGUGACCUGGCUGUUUCGUCUUUGCCGAAAGCAGAGCAUUGGAAACAAGAGCGGAACUUAAAGUGAAGAAUCGACCUCACCAGGCUAGUGUCGAUCCGAUACCGAUGCCGACUUGGUAUCGAUACAGUCGAUAUUUGGAUCGAUCCCCCCACCACUACCAGCAAGACAAUAACUUAAAGCACACAGGGCAGCUCUUCCUCACACAAACCAUGGUGGCGGCCAUCCUGAAAAUGUAUUUCUUUGGAACAGCACUUUCUGUCCUUGCAGUCCUUUAUGAAAUAGCGGACUCCGUUGGUGGUCUCAUGCACGUGCAGGACCAUCACUACUUACAGGAGCUGAACCAACAGACAGAGAGGGACAUUUCUUCAAACAACUGGAGAGGGCGGCCCGUGACUAAAAACAUUGGCUCAUGAGAAGAUCGUCAUGUUGUAGUUUUUGGACAUGUUCCUCAACUGUCUGCAAGGACAUGGAAUUUUCACUGAUGUGGAUUUAUGGUCCAAAUGGAUCUCUCUGUUUGGGCACUUUUUUGUAGCCCAUUGUCUGCUGUGAUAUCUUGUAGCAGCUAUUCUGUAAAAAGCACUACUGAACACAGAACACGUUCCUUGUGUUAAAAGUACACAUUUUGUAUAUAAUUUUCUAAACAAAGUGAAUUAAAACUGUUUUUUUUAAGGGGGGUGGGGGGAUUUUUUUGAUGAAUGCUUUUGAUGUGUGUAAGUUUAUUGCAGCAUGUAGAAGUCAGAGUACAAAGUGUGCCUUUUGGUUUGGUAGUGAUCAUGCAAUUGAACUUGGAGACAAAAAGAGAAAUGCAGGCUGCCAUAAAACUAACAGGCCUUAACAAAACAUGACUUCUCUAGAAAAGAGAGAAAAAAAAAAAAAACCUUCAGGCUGCCAGCAAAAAUUGCGCAACAAGGUCCCCACUGUGUAAAGAUCUGUCUGCCUUUUUGUUGUGAGUAAGGUUUUGUGAAUCAAAUAUGGGUUGCGCGACAAAGCUGGGAAAUGAUCUGUAAAACAUGAAAACCAUGACUCUGUGCACGAUUUCAACAUGAAUAAAGAUAAAUUGUUAUAAAUAAACCUGAGUGUUGCUCUUAUCAAGCGCAGAUACCAUCUCAGGCUUUUCAGGAGACAAAAUCAGAAAAUAGAAAGUGAACAGUGAAUUAC
ensembl:lncRNA